UACGUAGGCAGCGAGCGUUGUUCGGAGUUACUGGGCGUAAAGGGUGUGUAGGCGGUUAUUUAAGUUUGGUGUGAAAUCUCCCGGCUCAACCGGGAGGUGCGCCGAAUACUGAAUGACUUGGAGUGCGGGAGAGGUGAGUGGAAUUCCUGGUGUAGCGGUGAAAUGCGUAGAUAUCAGGAGGAACACCGGUGGUGUAGACGGCUCACUGGACCGUAACUGACGCUGAGACACGAAAGCGUGGGUAGCAAACAGG
rnacentral:rRNA from 1 species